rnacentral:rRNA from 1 species
GACAGAGGCCCCAAGCGUUAGGCGGAAUCACUGGGCUUAAAGCGUGUGUAGGCGGACGCCUAAGUGUCUUGUGAAAUCCCACGGCUCACCCGUGGAACUGCUGGGCAUACUGGGCGUCUUGGGCCAACUAGGGGCAGCCGGAACAAGCGGUGGAGCGGUGAAAUGCGUAGAUAUCGCUUGGAACGUCGAAGGUGAAAACAGGCUGCUGGGGUU